rnacentral:hammerhead_ribozyme from 1 species
AGCCGAAACGCCUCUCUUGGGGCGUCCGCCGUGGACCGGCCCCCCGGCGCUGAUGAUGGUAGGCCAAU